rnacentral:lncRNA from 1 species
AUGAAGCCUCUAUCUCGUCUCUGAAAGAUGCUCAGAAGGUCAUACAAGCAGGAGGGUCCACAAGCUGGGGAAAGCUGAUAGAGCUUCCAGAAAACAAGCACCGAGAAGGUUUGGGUUUCUUCCCAUCUACUGGUUUGUCCACAGCGAAGAAGGGCGCUUUCCACAGUUCGGGCUUUAUCCAUGCAAUCAUUGAAGAUGGUCCUGAAAGUGUGCCACGAGGUUUUAUAACGCCAGGAGUAUCCAGCCACAAUUGGGUUGCCGUAGAUGUUCCUUUUGUUGCUCACUUGUCCAAAUUAGAAAUCGACGAACCCGUUGAACAACAUAACCCUAUGAUCUCUCCCAACUUUGAGUUCCCUGUGUAUGAAGCGGAGGAGGAAGAGAAUGAAGAGAUCCCUGACGAAAUCUCUCGACUACUCGAACAAGAGGAGAAGACCAUUCAGCCUUAUGGGGACGAACUAGAAGUGAUUAACUUGGGCACCAAAGAAGACAAGAAAGAAAUCAAGGUUGGGGCAUCGCUCGAAACAAGUGUUAAAAAGCAAGUGAU